CCUACGGGAGGCAGCAGUGAGGAAUAUUGGUCAAUGGGCGCGAGCCUGAACCAGCCAAGUAGCGUGAAGGAUGACUGCCCUACGGGUUGUAAACUUCUUUUAUAAAGGAAUAAAGUGAGGCACGUGUGCCUUUUUGGAUGUACUGUAUGAAUAAGGAUCGGCUAACUCCGUGCCAGCAGCCGCGGUAAUACGGAGGAUCCGAGCGUUAUACGGAUUUAUUGGGGUUAAAGGGAGCGUAGAUGGGUUGUUAAGUCAGUUGUGAACGUUUGCGGCUCAACCGGAAAAUGGCACUUGAUACUGGCAGCCUUGUGUCCAGUUGCGGUCGGCGGCCUUCGUGGUGUAGCGGUUACAUGC
rnacentral:rRNA from 1 species